AGGUUCAGAACAUACAGGGGUUGAAUAGCACCAAGCUGGGCGUACCAGGAGGCUGGAUUCGAGGGUGGACCAGGACUCCACUUGUGCUUUCAGACUUUCUUGCUGCCACUUGUCCUUACUAUUGGAGGGUGCCUUGGAGCUGCAAAGUAGGCAGGUUCGGGAUGACUUCCUUCAGUAGGACGCUGCUGGGGACAAGAACGACUAGGUUCAGAUCAUACCGGGGUUGAAUAGCACCAAGCUGGGCGUACCAGGAGGCGGUGUUGGACGGUGUACCAGGACUCCACUUGUCCUUUCAGGUCUCUGAUUUUGCUGCAUGCAUAGAUUUUCUUGCCGCCACUUAUCCUGAAUAUGGAUGGUGCCUUGGAGCUGGAAAAUGGGUGGCUGGGCUGCUGCUAUUGCUGCUUAGGCUCUCAUACGAUGGACUUAGACUGCUGACCACCGACACAUGGCGAAAGUUCAUGAUUGGGUGCAGUUGUGCUGGUAGGCCCCAAUGUCGGCGGCAGCAUUGAUGGCGCCGUGCAUGAAGUUUCAGUAGGGCGCCUGGGUACAUGAUGGUGACUUCCUCCUCCACUAGGACGCAUGCUGCCACCUAGGACAAGAACGAACCACUAGGCUCAUACUUUCAAGCGUCCGCCAUGAAGCAGCAUUAGUUUAGAGAUCCCUAGGGAGAACAGGGCAAGGAUGAACAGGCUCUAGCAGACCUUCGCUAGCACGGUGAAGAAGAAAAGACAUCCAUGCAGUUUUGUACCAGUAGAAGUCAAGUCCCAAGAUAAUUUACCCUCUCGAUAUCAAGAAGUAGGCUGAAAGGAGACGAUGUCAGAGCUGGCCGUAGGCAGCAACGCCAUUGGUUUGAGGCUAGAGUUGGUUGAGGCCCACUUGGAGAAGCGGUGCGAGUCAGCCAUCGUGCUGGUCCUCAUUACGAGAGCACUAACAAGGGCCCUUUCGAUGCCCACAUGGUGGUGGUGGUGAAGCAGUUCACGUGGGAGGGAGUGUAGGGAACGAACGCGUUCCUGGUGGAGGUGUAGAUGCAGACGGUGC